rnacentral:ncRNA from 1 species
UUCGGGUUUCGGAAAACGCGUCGAAGCGUUGCGUGGUCUUGAAACGUUUUCCGAAACGGAGAA